CUACGGAGGGUGCAAGCGUUAUCCGGAAUCAUUGGGUUUAAAGGGUCCGCAGGCGGAUUAAUAAGUCAGUGGUGAAAUCCUCUCGCUCAACGAGAGAACUGCCAUUGAAACUGUUAGUCUUGAAUUCGGUCGAAGUAGGCGGAAUGUGUCAUGUAGCGGUGAAAUGCAUAGAUAUGACACAGAACACCGAUAGCGAAGGCAGCUUACUAGACCUGGAUUGACGCUCAUGGACGAAAGCGUGGGGAGCGAACAGGAUUAGAAACCCCUGUAGUCC
rnacentral:rRNA from 1 species